rnacentral:lncRNA from 1 species
AUGGAAGAAUGUUUGCAAUACUGGCGGGAAUACCACAGAAGACAUGAUAUAUAUUGGCCAAACCUCCGCGUACACUGGAGCCUAACGUUAGACGAAGACGUCGCUGACAACACUGGCCUCCAAACGGCUUUCAAUGCAUAUACCAAUGUACUUCAAGAAGAAUGUGACGGGCAAGACACUCGUCUAAGAGGUCUGGAGGACUUCAGCGGAAUGCAGCUGUUCUUGAUUUCGAAUGCUAGGACUCAGUGCCGAAUAGUAAACAACGCUACACUCAUCUAUGAGAUAAGGUGGUUACAAUACAGCACUGCGCGAAACAGG